rnacentral:ncRNA from 1 species
GACCGGAUAAGGCGUUCACGCCGUAUCCGGCAUACAGUGCCCGAUGCGACGCUGGCGCGUCUUAUCGGGCC